UGGGGAAUAUUGCACAAUGGGCGCAAGCCUGAUGCAGCCAUGCCGCGUGUGUGAAGAAGGCCUUCGGGUUGUAAAGCACUUUCAGCGAGGAGGAAGGUGGUGAACUUAAUACGUUCAUCAAUUGACGUUACUCGCAGAAGAAGCACCGGCUAACUCCGUGCCAGCAGCCGCGGUAAUACGGAGGGUGCAAGCGUUAAUCGGAAUUACUGGGCGUAAAGCGCACGCAGGCGGUUUGUUAAGUCAGAUGUGAAAUCCCCGGGGCUCAACCUGGGAACUGCAUUUGAAACUGGCAAGCUAGAGUCUCGUAGAGGGGGGUAGAAUUCCAGGUGUAGCGGUGAAAUGCGUAGAGAUCUGGAGGAAUACCGGUGGCGAAGGCGGCCCCCUGGACGAAGACUGACGCUCAGGUGCGAAAAGGCGUGGGGCAGCAAACAGGAUUAGAUACCCUGGUAGUCCACGCUGUAAACGAUGUCGAUUUGGAGGUUGUGCCCUUGAGGCGUGGCUUCCGGAGCUAACGCGUUAAAUCGACC
rnacentral:rRNA from 1 species